rnacentral:ncRNA from 1 species
AAGAUUUUCUUUCUCGCAAUAUCUCUUAUUGUCAUUCGUUCUUCUCUGCGUUACCUCGGUCGGUUUCACCGGGGUUUUU